CUGAGUUUUCAACGCACUAUCUUUUCUUUUUGUCCUAUCAUAACUUCAGAACAGAAAUCUAUUAAGCUAAGCACAGGUUUAUAAAAGAUCAUGAAGCUGCAUAACUGAAUCACAUUGUGUUCCUUAAGCUUUAAAAACAUCAGCGCCUGGAUAAAUGAGCUACUUUGAGGUGUCAGCAACAACCCCAAGCAGGAGGCUCUAUUCUGCUAAGAAAGAUGGCAAUCAACAACAAGAAAGCGAGUUCUAGAUAUCUCAGGCAGAGGGAGAGGACAAUACUGC